CCUACGGGGCGCAGCAGUAGGGAAUCUUUCACAAUGGGCGAAAGCCUGAUGGAGCAACGCCGCGUGCAGGAUGAAGGCCUUCGGGUUGUAAACUGCUUUUAUAAGCGAGAAAUAUGAUGGUAACUUAUGAAUAAGGAUCGGCUAACUACGUGCCAGCAGCCGCGGUAAUACGUAGGGAGCAAGCGUUAUCCGGAUUUACUGGGUGUAAAGGGCGUGUAGGCGGGCAUGCAAGCCAGAAGUGAAAUCUGGGGGCUUAACCCCCAAACUGCUUUUGGAACUGCGUGUCUUGAGUGAUG
rnacentral:rRNA from 1 species